UUUUUUGGUUGCUGCAGUUACCUGAAGCCUUUAGGUGGAGUGAGUCAGGAGAGCCUGGGUCAUCCUCAGAAAUGACUGUCAGGAUCCCA